AUAUGAUGACGAGGAAGACGACGACGACGAUAUUAAUAAUAAUAAUUGGUAUUGUUGUUGUUGUUGUUGUUGUUGUUGUCGUCGUCGUCAUUAUUA
rnacentral:pre_miRNA from 1 species